rnacentral:RNase_P_RNA from 1 species
CCAGAGAGUCGGGUGACCGCAGGCGUCAAGCUUGAGGAAAGUCCGGGCUCCACGGAAACACGGUGCCGGAUAACGUCCGGCGCGCCUUCUUGGUUUCAAGGGGGUGCAGGGAAAGUGCCGCAGAAAACAUACCGCCUUCUUCGGCCAAAAGCCGGGAGGGCAAGGGUGAAAAGGCGAGGUAAGAGCUCACCGCCGGACUGGCAACAGGACGGGCAGGGAAAACCCCACCGGGAGCAAGGCCAAAUAGGGAAGGCAUGUCUUCAAUGACAGAACCGUUUCCGGUUCCGCCUUCCGGGUCGGCUGCUAGAGGUGCGCGGCGACGCGCAUCGCAGAUGAAUGGUCACCCCCUUGCAAAAGGGACAGAACCCGGCUUACAGACUCUCUGGUUCC